rnacentral:rRNA from 1 species
UACGGGGGGGGCAAGCGUUGUUCGGAAUUACUGGGCGUAAAGGGCUCGUAGGCGGCCAACUAAGUCCGACGUGAAAUCCCAAGGCUUAACCUUGGAACUGCGUCGGAUACUGGAUGGCUUGAAUUCGGGAGAGGGAUGCAGAAUUCCAGGUGUAGCGGUGAAAUGCGUAGAUAUCGGGAGGAACACCAGUGGCGAAGGCGACUACCUGGCCCACUCUUGACGCUGAGGCGCGAAAGCUAGGGGAGCGAACGGG